AAACUUUCAACAACGGAUCUCUUGGUUCUGGCAUCGAUGAAGAACGCAGCGAAAUGCGAUACGUAAUGUGAAUUGCAGAAUUCAGUGAAUCAUCGAAUCUUUGAACGCACAUUGCGCCCGCCAGUAUUCUGGCGGGCAUGCCUGUCCGAGCGUCAUU
rnacentral:rRNA from 1 species